GUAUGCUUUUGGAGAAUCGAUAAGCCAAUCCAGAUUGGUUGAAUCGUCAUACAAGUGUGUUCAGUUUUAUCGUCGUAUGUGCUCUGACCAGCCUCCCGCUACCAUUCUCCGACCACCCACCAGAGUUUGUCAAUGAUUACACAACGACAACCCACCGGCAUGAAACCUACAAUCACCGCCGUUGAAUGCUUUUUCCCAACUUGUGGUUACUCUCCAAUCAGUAACUCUUUCAUCUCUGCAAGAUCGGAAGAUCUAAGGUUAUAAAUUGAAGACGAAUAAUUGAAGGAGACAUGUGUGCUGAGAGAUCGAUUAGGUCUCUUUUUAGGCAGUACGAAUCCUUAAUUCCUCUGCCAUCGGAAGUAAUCUCAAGUGCUUAUUAUGAAUUAUGGUUUGAGAAAUUAUGUCUAUUCAGUGUGUUUUUUUUAUUACACGAAACUUGUGUACACGUAUUUUUGUUUGUCAAUUCGUGUUUUAGUUAGGUUUUAAGGAGUUUAUUAUAUGAUGGUCCAGAAUCUAGGGCUAAUUGUUAUAAUUUUCAGAUAUGGGGCUUUACCCAGAUUGUCAUACUCACUCAUCAUUGUGAUUCCAGUCGCUUCAUCCACAACUUUAGAGGUUGAAAUUUAUUAGGAAACUAAACUGAUAAAAUCCCAGUGCCAAAGGUGAUUAUAAAUCAGGACUCAGAUCUAGAUCUAGAUCUUGAUGCAAGUGUGAUGGGAUCACUUACAAAUCUUGGAAUGAAUGUUGUCAAGGCAAAUGAUCAUCUGAAUUCUUCCGGGAAUCACACCAUGUUUUUAACAACUGAAGCAUCAUAGACAUGAUGCAGCAAGAGCAGAAAAUUCAUUUACUCUUAUUUUUAGGAGUGAAUUAAUCGGUAUGCAAAUCUGCAAAAAAGGGGCAAAAUUGCAAAGGCUAAAAGACUGAUGAUGUUCAAACUGGUAACGGUUUGGUUUGGUUUCAAAUUUCAGCGGUUUGGUUCUGGUUUACAAUCAUAAAAAAUCAUUAGUGGCUUACGGUUUGCCUAAAAACCGUAAAAAAAACCGAACCGUGAACGCCCCUAUUAAUGAUGAUACUUGCAAAGUGUGAAUUGUUUACUUGAAUAUACUUUUAAAUGCCGAAUUUUACCUUCAAAUACCGCUACCGUACCGAUACCAUACCGAUACCGUACCGUACCGACAUAUUUCGCUAUGUGUAUCGGUACCCGGUUUUGGCGGAAUUCGGUAUCGGGACGGGAUCGGGAUUUGAUCAUCCCUACUUACUUAAAGACUUUUCAUCUUGAAACAUUUGUACUGAUCAAUAAUCAUAUAUAUAAUGGGUUGAUUACUGGUGCCCAAAUGGUUUCAAGUGUGAACUCAAUUAUCAAGCACUAGUGUUUGCACCAGGUGGAGAUCUUAUAAAGGUUAAAAGAGCAGUUUGCAUGAUCAGCAACAACACAGCAGUUGCCAAGGGGUUGCAAAAAAAUGUCACAUUUUGUAAUAUUUGUUGAGCUAUCAAGACCUUGAUGCUCUAGAGGAUGAGGUCAUUGUCAUAGAGUACGAGAGCAUGCACACUAUUCUUUAAUGGAGUUGAAGGACCAAGGCCUGACCUGACCCAACCGAACGCACAUUUAAGCUGAGUUUUUUUUUUCUGAAGACGACGUGAGUCAUUGAUCGAAUUGAGUAUGUUCUACCUACCAUUAACCACUUCGAAUGGAGAUAAAAAGGUGUUCUUUUGUUCUCAUUUUAGUCAUUUCUGAUUAUGAUUGUAUUUGAUGAUCUUAAUUUAUUGGUUGAUAUAUGCUACUAUGUCGAUCUUUAAAUUUUUUUUGACAAUGCAGUGCACUGUUUUACUCUGCAAAAGAUGUAGUGAGCUAGGGGAAGCAUCAGAUGAUCAAUGAUGAUUCCUUUAUUCUAGUCUUGUCACUGAGUUGGUUGUUGUUAAGUAAAUACGAUUUCGUUGUG
rnacentral:lncRNA from 1 species